rnacentral:rRNA from 1 species
UACGUAGGGGGCAAGCGUUGUCCGGAUUUAUUGGGCGUAAAGAGCGUGUAGGCGGUUAGGUAGGUCCGUUGUGAAAACUCGAGGCUCAACCUCGAGACGCCGAUGGAAACCAUCUGACUAGAGUCCGGAAGAGGAGAGUGGAAUUCCUGGUGUAGCGGUGAAAUGCGCAGAUAUCAGGAAGAACACCCGUGGCUAAGGCGGCUCUCUAGUACGUGACUGACGCUGAGCCGCGAAAGCCAGGGGAGCGAACGGG